UGGGGGUUCUAUACAAGGUACCGGGGAUGGAGGUGGAGGCAAAUGAGGCGGUGGAGGGGAGGAGUAUACUGGUGGAGGAGGUGAAUUUGGUGGUGGAGGUGAUGAGUAUAUGUAUACAGGUGGUGGAGGUGGUGAAUUUGGUGGUGGAGGAGGCGGAGGUGGUGGUGAAUUGUAGUAGUAAGGUGAAGGGGGUGGAGGUGAGUGAGCAAGCGGUGGUGGCGGAGGAGGUGGUGAAUUUGGUGGUGGAGGUGGUGGUGAGCGUACACAAUAAGGUAAUGGUGAUGGAGGAGGAGGUGAUGGUGGUGGUGGUGGUGGUGGUGGCGAGUAAACAGGUGGUGGAGGAGGUGGUGGUGAUGGUGGAGUAGGAGAGGGUGGUGGUGGCGAAUAAACAGGUGGGGGGGGUGGAGGAGGUGGAGGUGGCGGAGAGGGAGGUGGCGGAGAGGGAGGUGAAUAAACGGGAGGUGGAGGUGACGGAGGAGGCGGAGGAGGUGAAUAAACGGGAGGUGGAGGCGGAGGAGGCGAUGGAGGAGGUGGUGGUGGUGGUGAAGGUGAAGGAGGAUUAUAAACUGGUGGUGGCGGAGGCGAAUAGACGGGCGAUGGAGGGGGAGAAAUGGGCACGACGACAACAGGAGGCGGAGGCGGAGGCGGAGGCGGAGGCGGAG
rnacentral:lncRNA from 1 species